UGAAUUUACAAAUAUCUCUGACCACCCUGAAACUGUGUGUUGUUUUUUUUUUUCUCCAGCAAAUAAAUGAUUCACCAGCCAAAAAUAACACAAGCACCUAUCAUAACAGCUCCAGUUGCUCCUGCGUGUCUUGGAGCUUACAGCAGACCUGUUUACUGUUAGUCUUAACGUGGAGGAGGUGCUGGGUAUGUCUGGUUGUCCAUCUGUGCCUGCCACCAGGGCUCUGCAGGAAGCAUUGCUGAUCACAGAAUCACGGAAUCAUAGGGGUUGGAAGGGACCUCUAGAAAUCAUCAAGUCCAACCCCCUGCUAAAACAGGCUCGCUACAGUAGGUUGCACAGGACCCUGUUGGAUAUCUAAGGAGAGUAAAUGGACACAGCUUGCAAGCUGCUGGGAGUCUGGAGUUUGUCUGCCUUGAGUGCUUGUGAAUACAGCGGAGUUUUGUUUGAAAGGAACCUCACUUGCAAACAAAUUGUGAGCAAAAAUCCCCGACAUUAUUUGUGACAAAUCGUUUGGUCAGCGCUAUGUGCUUCUGUCUGAUUCUUCCACAGACAGGAGUUACUCAGCCCCAGAGCAAACACAGCACUGCAGCGCACUCUCCAAUUGCCGGGCUGGAAGAAUGCACUGUGUUUCUGUAUUUGCUCUGACUUAAAAAUCUGCUUGCUUUGUCUGCGUUCACACCUCUCUAUGUUCAUGAGCUGUGAAUGCUCAAACAGGCGAGAUUUACUCCUCCGUAUAACUACCGAAAGCAAAAUGAAACCUCGUUAUUUGCGAACGGAGUAAUGUGUUUUAAUGUGGGAUUCUGCUUUUGGAAAGCCUCGCCAGGUCUCUGAACAAAGGCUGCGAAGUGAGCCAGACAUGGGUGUGCCAGUCCUUGGUAAAUAAAAACAUGCAUGUGCAUAAGUACGUCUAAUGAGUGCUCAGACGGAAUUAACUGCAAGAUCCGUAUCUUGCCAGCAAAUCUGUUGAGCAGCCUGUUUUUAUUUAUUUAUUUAUUUUUUUAAGUAGCAGUGCCUCAGGCAAAGGUCUGUGCGGCCCGGCAAGGAAAAGCUGAAAAUGGUCUGUGUAGAACUUGCGGAGUCACGGCCGCCCUCUCCGCUGUCUCCAGGCAGUGGAAGCCAUCGAGGGCCUUUGCAAAUCCUUCUCCUGAUUAUGAGAUUUGUCCUUAUCCAAGCGGGAAAAUAACACUGCCAUGGGACCUGUGUGGCCCAUUGCCACCGGAAAGGAGAUUUGCAGUAAACAGUUGGCAGCCCUUUGCUAAAAGCAGGAAAAGUCAGCAGAGAUCUGCAACUUCAAGCAAACUUGAGGGUUGCAAGGCAUCAGGGGUUGGUUCAUGCCUUGUGUCUCGUCAGGUAACAUGUUUCUGGGCAGUGCUAGCUUCUCUCUUAGCAUGAGGAACGGGAGGGAACAGGACUUGGGGGUACUGGUGGAUGCCAAGCUGGACAUGAGGCAGCAACGUGCCCUCACAGCCUACAAAUCCGACUUUAUCCUGGGCUGUAUCAAAAGAAGAGUGGCCAGCAGGGCAAGGGAGGUGAUUCUGCCCCUCUGCUCUGCGCUGGUGAGGCCUCACCCGGAGUACUGCAUCCAGAUGUGGAGUCCUCAGUAAAGGAGAGACAUUGACCUGUUGGAGUGUGUCCAGAGGCAGGCCACAAAAACGAUCCAAGGGAUGGAACAUCUCUCCUAUGAGGACGGGCUGAGAGAGCUGGGGCCGUUCAGCCUGGAGAAGGCUCCAAGGAGACCUCAGAGCAACUGUUGCUUUCCUCUCUCAUGCUCUCUUCAUCUUCUGGUCUAUAGAACCCCCAGUGCAGGGGUGGCACUGGUGUUCAAGCAGUGCCUGGCCCCAGUGGCUUUCAACAAGCAUUGAUUUGCCGGGGGGUAUUUUGGAUCAGUGCUUAAAGGUUUCUAAGGUGUGCUGGGGUGUGGGGAAAGAGAUAUGGUGAAGGAAAUGAGGGACAGUGAAAUGGCUAUUCAUUUUUAAUGCUUCGUGUACUCCAACAUAAUUGGGAGAGUGGUUCACAAGGCUAGGGAAUGGCAUGACUUUUGCCUGAGGGCUCUACCUGCUAUAUUUGAGAUCUGCAAACAGUAGCCAUCUCAAAGCCUUUCAGGAAACCCGCACAAAUUGUUUAUAAUGCAAAAUGUUAGGCAGCCUAAAUACAGGAGAAAGGACCCAAAUGAUCAUGCGUUGUGCUGCUUUUUAUGCUUGCUUUUUUACCAGCGUUUCUGUGCUCCAAGCAGACAUGGUCUCCUCCCACUGCGCUGCCUGGCAGCAAUGAGUUUGGUUUAUCAGAUUCCACCAACUUUGUGUUUGUACACCGUAAAAAUCAUCCAAUUUAGUGGUCCUGAUGGAAUGGACUUAACGUCUGUGUCACCUGGUGAGAUAAGAAGACUGUCGGGGUUGGAAGCAAUCCUGUGAAUCAAGGCUGGCCUGGCACUGCUGUGUAUCAGGUAGCCAUGGAAAUCUGCUCUCCAGGUAGAUAAGCAGCCAAGUGCCACCACCUGGGCCCAGACACAGGAAGAAGAGCCAAAGAAGCCAGCAAUGGUGGAGAUCUCUGAGCUGCCUUGGAGAGGUAGAAGGAUGCAUAAUACAGGGUGGUGGGACAGGAGCAGAGGGGAAGAAAGUCUUCUGUAUCUAGCAGCAACUGCUAUCGGAGGAAGGUGUUUGUGGAGCACAGAAUGCCAUCUGGGUACAUACAGAUGUGAAGUAAAUGAAAUAUGUGUCCAUGGUUGUUAGAGGCAGGACCAGCACCUGGAUCCUCCCUCUCCUAUCCAUUCUCUCCUCUCUCAUCUUUCCCAAUGCUCCUUGUCCAUAAGUUGGACACCUUCCACCAAGUAGUCCUCCAUUAGCACCAUGUCACCUCCUCCUAUCUGCAGCUCUGCUUUUGAAGGCUGUGCCAUGGCAAACUUUUGAAAGAACCUCAUUGCGAGGAUUACUGUCCUAUUAUUGUUGCUGUUGUUAUUAUUGUUGUUAUUAUUAUAUCCCCAGUCCAGUGUUAUAUCUGAAAUGAAAUGCUCAGGAAGACGAAUGAACAGCCCCUGCAAUAAGUAGAUACAGAGACUUCUCCAAGAGAUUCUCCUUGCCUCAACCUCCAGUUAUUAGUGGCCACCCUGUCUUUGUGAAGUGCUGCUUUGCCUUUUGUGUGGUCAGUUCCAGCAUAUCCUUACUGCCCAAGUGUUUGGACCGGUGCUGUGCUGCUCAUCCACCUUCUGGCUGGCCCUCAUGGAGUGCCCUUACUCUCUAGAUGCCAUCGAUACAUUUCACCUUCAUCAAUAAAGAUUCCUACCUUGCUGCUUUUUCAGGCAGAAAAGCACAUUCAGUA